rnacentral:rRNA from 1 species
CUACGGGGGGCUGCAGUGGGGAAUCUUGGACAAUGGGCGCAAGCCUGAUCCAGCCAUGCCGCGUGAGUGAAGAAGGCCUUAGGGUCGUAAAGCUCUUUCGCCAGAGAUGAUAAUGACAGUAUCUGGUAAAGAAACCCCGGCUAACUCCGUGCCAGCAGCCGCGGUAAUACGGAGGGGGUUAGCGUUGGUCGGAAUUACUGGGCGUAAAGCGCGCGUAGGCGGAUUAGUCAGUCAGAGGUGAAAUCCCAGGGCUCAACCCUGGAACUGCCUUUGAUACUGCUAGUCUUGAGUUCGAGAGAGGUGAGUGGAGUUCCGAGUGUAGAGGUGAAAUUCGUAGAUAUUCGGAGGAACACCAGUGGCGAAGGCGGCUCACUGGCUCGAUACUGACGCUGAGGUGCGAAAGUGUGGGGAGCAAACAGGAUUAGAUACCCUCGUAGUC